AACGAACGCUGGCGGCAUGCCUAACACAUGCAAGUCGAACGAGACCUUCGGGUCUAGUGGCGCACGGGUGCGUAACGCGUGGGAACCUGCCCUUAGGUUCGGCAUAACUCCCCGACAGGGGUGCUAAUACCGGAUAAUGUCUUCGGACCAAAGAUUUAUCGCCUUUGGAUGGGCCCGCGUUGGAUUAGCUAGUUGGUAGGGUAAAAGCCUACCAAGGCGACGAUCCAUAGCUGGUAUGAGAGGAUGAUCAGCCACACUGGGACUGAGACACGGCCCAGACUCCUACGGGAGGCAGCAGUGGGGAAUAUUGGACAAUGGGCGAAAGCCUGAUCCAGCAAUGACGCGUGAGUGAUGAAGGCCUUAGGGUUGUAAAGCUCUUUUACCCGGGAUGAUAAUGACAGUACCGGGAGAAUAAGCUCCGGCUAACUCCGUG
rnacentral:rRNA from 1 species